GAGUUUGAUCCUGGCUCAGAUUGAACGCUGGCGGCAGGCUUAACACAUGCAAGUCGAGCGGAAACGAAGAGGUGCUUGCACCUCUGGCGUCGAGCGGCGGACGGGUGAGUAAUGCUUGGGAAUAUGCCUUAUGGUGGGGGACAACAGUUGGAAACGACUGCUAAUACCGCAUGAUGUCUACGGACCAAAGUGGGGGACCUUCGGGCCUCACGCCAUAAGAUUAGCCCAAGUGGGAUUAGCUAGUUGGUGAGGUAAUGGCUCACCAAGGCGACGAUCCCUAGCUGGUUUGAGAGGAUGAUCAGCCACACUGGGACUGAGACACGGCCCAGACUCCUACGGGAGGCAGCAGUGGGGAAUAUUGCACAAUGGGCGCAAGCCUGAUGCAGCCAUGCCGCGUGUGUGAAGAAGGCCUUCGGGUUGUAAAGCACUUUCAGUAAGGAGGAAAGGUUAAGUGUUAAUAG
rnacentral:rRNA from 1 species